AAGGGCAGCCUGGUCUACAGAGUGAGUUCCAGGACAGCCAGGGCUACAAAGAGAAACCACACACACACAAAAAGACAGUAACAGUUACUAGUCUAAAAGUUAGUAUUCUAAGCCAGGUCUCCUGGCUCAUGCUUGCAAUCCCAGAACUUCAGAGCCUAAAGCAAGAGAUUCACUGCCAAAUUCAAGGCCAGGCUGGGCUAUAUAAUACUUUGAAGAUUAACCUGGGGAGCCUGAAGAAAGUGAUACAAGCAUCGCUACAGCAAACUUCACUUAUAAGAAGGACUUAGAGUAGAUAAGCCUAGAGAAAGAGGUGGAGCCACGGGUGUUAGGGCUGGAGUGGGGCUGAGGAAAGGCUAGAGACACAUUCCUGGGGAGACAUCAAUGAGCCAUCUGCUCACCUCAGAUAAGAAACCAAUGGCAGACCAAAGUAACACUACUGCCAAACUUCAAUUUGGUAAACCAAUGAGUUUGUUGAGGUUACUAGAGAGUGUGGGUGAGAAUUUACUCACAGAACCAUGGGUGACUCAGAGGCAGGGGCAUCAUCACUGAAAGGCCACUCCAGUAUUGUUGAUGACUCAGGAAACUGCAUCUCUGGGAUUCUCUGUACCACUUGCAGGCAGUUACAAGGUUGGAAGCAUCUUCUUGUCUCAGCAUUCCUUUGUUUGCUUAUAUAACUCUGGGAAGUAAUGGGCCUUGUGAGUUUGGCCAGUUUUAGGGACUUCCUGAGUCUUAAUGAGUUUCCUUCCAGGAAGGAGGUUUCAGCUGGAGAAAAGUACUACAUAACAGGGGACUGGGGACCAGCCUGGACAGAAGCAGAGUCUCUGUGUGGCUUCAGUUGCAGUCACAUUUUCUUCAAGUGGCUUUGAAGAACAGAGGGAUUAGCUUUCACGGUUUAUCAUUUUUCCCUUUGUAGUUUGUAUUCUCUGUGUCCUGGCUCAGAACUCGGCCUGUCUCAUGGGUGCUGAUAUUCACUGAUGUUGUUUUACACACCUAGCCCGACUCAGCACCCUAUUGUGUGGUGUGUGUGUGUGUAAGCUGUUUUUUUCCAAAUAAAAAUGUGUAGGCUUGUG